GCAUCGAUGAAGAACGCAGCGAAAUGCGAUAAGUAAUGUGAAUUGCAGAAUUCAGUGAAUCAUCGAAUCUUUGAACGCACAUUGCGCCCGCCAGUAUUCUGGCGGGCAUGCCUGUCCGAGCGUCAUUUCAAC
rnacentral:rRNA from 1 species